GCCUCAACAGCCCAAUAACAACCAAACAAAAAGAAAAAGCAGCGAAGAGCAGAAACACAUCGAUAACUGCGUCACAGGAAGUGACAACAUAUGGGUCAAAGAAGGAAACUGCGACUGAAGCAACCUGCCGAGGGCUUUGCUAACGCACGAAAAGGCCACACACCCUGAAGACCUUUGUCGAAGUGGAUGAAACCACAGAUAUAACAAACAAAGCCCAAAGAUCUGUCUUUUUGCGAUAUGUCAACAGCAACUCUGAAGUUAAAGAAGCCUUUUUGAGAUUGACGAGGGGAGCAAUGACAGAAGGGCACAGGAAAUAUCAGUAUUGGAACUGGGCCAUGAAACGGUUUUAGUUUCUGAUCAAGAUAAAUGCGUCAGCAGC